GAGCUCUUAGCUCAGCUGGUAUAGAGCGCUUCCCUGACACGGAAGAGGUCGCUGGUUCAAAUCCAGUAGAGCUCA
rnacentral:tRNA from 1 species